AGGGAGAAGAAGGUGGAGGAGCCGACGGAGCUGAGGGCGCCGGAGAUGACGCUCUGCGCCAACAGCUGCGGGUUCCCGGGCAACCCGGCGACCAACAACCUCUGCCAGAACUGCUUCUUGGCUGCCUCGGCGUCUUCUUCUUCUUCUUCCGCCGCUGCCUCGCCGUCGACGACGUCGUUGCCGGUGUUUCCGGUGGUGGAGAAGCCGAGGCAGGCCGUACAGUCGUCGGCGGCGGCGGCGGUGGCGCUGGUGGUUGAGCGGCCGACGGCGGGGCCGGUGGAGUCGUCGUCGAAGGCGUCGAGGUCGUCGUCGGUCAACCGAUGCCACAGCUGCCGGAGGCGGGUGGGCCUGACCGGGUUCCGGUGCCGCUGCGGCGAGCUCUACUGCGGCGCGCACCGGUACUCCGACCGCCACGACUGCAGCUUCGACUACAAGUCGGCGGCGAGGGACGCCAUCGCCAGGGAGAACCCCGUCGUCCGCGCCGCCAAGAUCGUUAGGUUCUAAAAGGAUAAUACAAGGGGAAACCAACCUGAAUUUUCCUCCUUUUUUCUUUCUUUUUUCUUCUUCUUUCCUUUUAAAAAUUAAAGUUGAGGGUAUUAUUUUUUCUUUUCCUGAGAGCUUCUUAAAGGUGAAAGGGGAAAAAAAAGAAAGAAAAAGAAAAGGAGAUGAGAUGGGUGACUCAAGAUGCAUCAAGCAAAGGAAGAACAAUAUGAUGAUGAUGAUGUUGUUGUUGUAGUGGUGGUUGAGGUUGGAAGUUGGAUGGAAAGAGGGAGGAAGGAAGAAGAUGGGGUUGUUGUGUUGUCCUCCCACAAAUCUCUAUUUAAUUUUAAUUCCCUUUUGUAUAAAAUUUAUUAUUAUCUGUGGAGAGCAUUAUUAUCAGCUUGAGCUAGUGGCAUCUUUCUUUUUAUUAUCUCCUCUUUUUUUUUUCCUCCAUUGGUUGUGAAUUGCCCUGACAGCUCAAUCAUUGACGCUACUUGGAGCCAUCCAUUAGUAGUUGAACCGGAUUGGAUUAGUUCGCCUGGCAUUAUUGGUAGGUCCAAGUUGCGUACACUAAUUAUUUCCCUGUUCUUUUUUUAAAUUUUUUUAAGAUAGGUAACCGUCCUGUAUUCGAAUUGAUUAAAAAUCGUAUUGAUACCACCUAAUACGGCUGCAAAUUGACCACCACGUGUCGACAUUUGUUCACACACUUGGUUUCCUCUUUCAGACCAAAUUUCAGCUCACAAUUCAUCAUCUUUUCCUUUUCCAAAACACAUUACAAACAGAAAAAUGAUUAUAUACAUGCGUGCAAUUCACCAUCUAUUGAAUAAAAACAAGAAAUGGAAAUCAAUUCAGUUUUUUUUUCACUGUAGGCUGAUUUUGAAAUUUAGAAUUUGAUUUUGGAACUAGUUGUGCUUUAGUUGCAUGACUCCCAUUUCAUGAUUAACACGAAAACAAAUGCUACUAUCCAUUAAAAUUAAUACAAAAAAAUCAAGCUUCAAGAAAUUCGUUUUAAAAUAUGCCCUCUCAGAAUAUUUUCUUCUACCAUACAGCUUAGACAAUUUUUUUCUAAACUAUUUGUUAAAUUUAUUUUAAAAUAUAUAAUACAUAAUUUAGUAGAUAAUCCAUAUAAUAAUCCUGUGAAAAAAUAAUUCAAUCAGGGAUUUAAAGUCGAUUUGGAUGAAACAUCCCCCAAAAAUUUUUGGAUUAAACAUAAGCAGGUCGACAGCUUAAGGUGGUCGUCAGGAUACGCCUUCACAGAAAAUCCCCGGCGACCUUUCCUCCCCUCUCAAAGGCGGAGGCGGAGGAUCUUUCGCCGAUCCCCACCGCCGCCGUGCUUCACUGGGGCCCACUGCUCUCAUCGCCGGCACAGGUCGGCAGCAGCACGAGGAGAUUUUCUUCUUCUUUUUUUUUUUCUUUCUCCUUCCUUCCUUGUGCUGGUGAUGGUGCGUGGACGCCACGUGGCCCAGGCUGGAAGGGCUCUCUUCUCUUCCGCGAUCGGCUUUUCCCGUGGUGAUGAGCUCGAUCGAUCAGCCGCCGGUCUUAGCUGGAGCAAAUAAAUUUAUUUAUGGGCAAAUUUUGCGUUCGUUCUCUCGAUUGGUUUGAGAGUUUUGAGAUGUUGAUAGGUCGUUUCGCGAGUGAUCCAAGCGCGUGAGUUGCUUUGGACUCGUUCCUUGUUCGUGGGAGUUGAUUGACAAAUUAUUUUGCGUUCUUAACCAUAUUUUUUUCAACUACAACUUUUUUUGUUUUUUCGCAUCUUUCUCAAAUUGCUAAAUGACGUAUUAUGGGAAAAAAAACUUCUAUAGAAUAGUUGUCUUAAAAAAUAUAUUAACUUUUUAAAUAAGCUAAAGGUAUCUGCUUAAUUAAUUAUUCCCUAAUGGCUCGUUCUAUUUUACAAAGCGAAGAGAUGGUCCUAACCUUUAGCUUCGAACGCAGCUAGUCAUUGCGCAGCUUGUACCGAGUACUACAUGUCAAUGAGAUUUGAGAAAAAGAUCGAUCACGUGACGUAGACUAAUUUUGCUGUAACAAUUGGAUCUAGUAGCCUCGUUCCGAAUGGCAACAACAUUCUGGCUAUUAUGUAAGUUUCUGCUACUAUAAUUCCAUAAAGUAUUUUGGACUGAAAAAUUGAUCGCCGGUGAUUGGCGAUCGCGAUCAUCCUAGAGAGACCAUGAGAUCAAAUUGUUCCUAUAGUAAUAGAAUGACCGUAAGUGUUUACCAAAUUGUUUGGGGGUAAGGUUACCAUCGCCUACGGUUUGGUGAUUACCGCGAGGUAUGUCGUAGGUUAUCGUACGUGAUUACCGUGCGCGUAGUAGCAAUAUGGUUUUGUAAACCCUGCUGACCGCAGGAUGGAAAAUUGUACUGCACUAAACACGAACUAGAGCUAUAUACUUUACCGGUUUUUCCUCCUUAUCUCUUUGCUGUGUGUGGCGCCUGCUUUCAUCGAGGAUAACCGACGCUGGGAAGAUCCAUUUGCCAGAACAGGGGCCGUUCAGUACUACUACAAUGAUUGGGACUUGUGGGGACGCCAUGAAGCGUCUCAGAAAGACAACAGGUUCACUGAACUCUCUGCUUUUGCUCGACAUCCCUCCUUUUCCUUCCUUCUGGCCAUCCGUCCUAAUCAAGCUACUACUACUUCUACUUUUCUGUCCUGUUUUGAGGUUAGCCAUUAGUGAUUGUGGAUUUUAAAGUGCCUUCGGUGCAUUUGAUUUUGUACUCCAGGGGAGAUAAUGGCAUCAUGCAAUGGUGGAGCUUUUGACUGGGUAGGGGUGCUCGGAUUGGCUGGCGAGAGAUGUGGUAGAGAUGUUGUACUACUUAUGGAAGAAGCUUGGGACAACAAGGCAGACAGCGAGAGAUGGAAUGAUCGUUUUUUUUCCUGUGAAAUACACGACCAGCCCUUAAAUUUAUACGGUGGUUUACUUAAGUACCUAAUCUGGCAAAAUACAUAUUUAGAUUCAUAUUGUUAAUUUAAUGUAUCUCAGCAUGUCUAAAAUCUUAUUUGCUCGUGUAUGACCACCGGCGUAACGCUAUACGCUAGCACACAUUUUGCAUUUAGACUCCUUAGCGACACCAUAUAUAUAGUUUCCACUAUAUAUUUUUUCAGAACAACCUCACCGAUGUUGAACUCUAGAGGCCACUCACUGUGCAUGCCGGGGAUGAAAACGGACGGAAAUGGUCAGAAACAAUAUCAUUAUUUUAUUAUUUUCUCGAAAACGAACCGAAAUGAUCGGGAAAUUUCCAUAUUUAUGAAUUUAUCUAUUUAGUAUCAACUUCAAUGCCACGAUGACAGAACUUAAAACUAAAUUUAAAAACAGUAACCAUCGAUAAAAAUAUUAUUAUUAUAUUAGUUUUGUGGAAGGUAUCGGUAUGGUCGAGAAAUUUUCGUAAUGUUUUCAUCCUGCUGGUACUGCUGCCACCGACCGUCACGACUUAGUGGUGGGGCGUGCGGCUAUAUGCUGCUUGCAUUUCUUGAGGCAGUUCCCGGUGCCCCAUCCGGCGACGACAGAGAGCAGCGUGGCGGCGAUCAUACGUGAUAAAUGGAGGCCUGAACACGCUGUUAUACAUUAAACUAGAAUUAAAAUGCAUCUUACAGGAUUAGUGUAUUUCGCUCAUUUUCUGCUCCCCGUGCGUGUGACGGGAAGUAGUAGUGAUCGUCUCUGCAGCAGCGUAAGGAAUAAGUUCACUUUAGGACCCUCAAGUGUGACCGAAAUCUAAUCCAUCACAUAUCCCGACCCCUAAACUCCUAAAACCGAUGCGAUUUGACUCCCUGGAUGGUUUUGAGAGGCGGUUUUGCUGACGUGGCGCCACGUGGUGCCUACGUGGCAAUAUUGACCGAAUCUUCGUUCCACGUGACGUUGACGUGGCACCUACGUGGCAGUAGAAUUAAAAAAUAUACGUGAGACCCAUUAGUCAUUCACACAAAAAAAAUUGUGGGCCCACUAACAUAUGGAGCCCAUAUGUCAGUCCUUCUUCCUCCUCCCUCUCUCCCUUCUCUCUCUUUCUCUCCCUUCUUCCCCUUCGGCCGGUGGCGCGCAGGGACAGCGAGAAUGAGCGGCGGCGGCGACGUUCGGCAGUGUGGGACGGGGGCCAGCGGCGGGAGGGUGGUAGGGCGGGCGGGCGAGGGCAAGAGCAAGGGCCAGAUCUUCGGUGACGGCGGCGGAUGGGCGCUGAAGAGGCGAUGGCCGGUGCCUCCUCCAACCCCAUCCACAGCCUCAUCCGCUCCUCCCCGCGGCGUCGUUGCCGAAGCUGGCGGUAGCGACCCCAUCUCUCUCCCUCUCCUUCCUUCUCCACAUGGUACGGCGACGAGGAGUUGUCACGGAGCAUGAUUCCGGCGGGGAGACGGCGAUGGCGCGAUGGAGGCUAGCCCACUGUUACCGCCGCCCUACUGUCGCGCUACCGUUCCACCGCCCUACUCCCUCGAGUUCCGCUGCCGUCGCCGCGCUGCUGUCGUGGCUGCCACCGCCGCAGCUCUACUGUCCCUGCGCGCCACCUGCCGAAGGGGAAGAAGGGGAGAGAAAGAGAGAGAAGAGAGAGAGGGAGGAGGAAGAAGGAAUGACAUGUGGGCCUCAUAUGUCAGUAGGCCCACAUUUUUUUUUGUGCGAAUGACUAAUGGGUCCCAUGUAUAUUUUUUAAUUCUACCGCCACGUAGGUGCCACGUCAACGUCCGUGGAACGAAGACUCGAUCAAUAUUACCAUGUAGACGCCACGUUAGCAAAACCGCCUCCCAAAACCACCCAGGGAGUCAAAUUGCACCGGUUUUAAGAGUUUGUGGGUCGAGAUAUCUGGAUCUGUAGUUUAUGGUUUCGAUCACAUUUAAGGGUCAUAAGGUGAACUUAUUCCGCAGCGUAAUGUUGAAAGAUCGUCUAGGGAUGUGUUCUCCAGGCCCAAAAUUAGGCCCACGUAAGAGACCAUCUGGACCCGAGAAAACUGCCCGGAUACGAGAAAAUUUGGUCGUCGUGCUGUAGAAUUGGCCACGCGUGAGCGUGAACGGGCCGCGGCAAAUCAUAGCGCUGGGGGUACGUGCGACCGUGUGCCGAUGGAUGCGAGGGGGGAGGCGACAGACAGGCGAGGAGUACGCGCGCGGUGCCCCUGCCACGUAACGCACGGCGUUGCCGUUUGCAGCCUUGGCGUCGACGCACGGGUCACGGGUGUAUCGCUUGCAAAGCCGAGGCAAAUGCAUAUGGGACUUCACCGCGUCCACGAUGAGGCGCGAUGAUGCGAUGAGAAUGAGAUGGGAGGGGGGCUAAAGCGUGCGCCCGCGGCCCAUACCCGCGGUCCUCCACCGGGUGGGCC
rnacentral:lncRNA from 1 species